AAAACAGGAGCGGUUCGCCCUAUAAGGAAAUUCCCCGCCUCCCAGCCCAUCAUGCCUUGCUGCCGACUUCCGGUUCUCCAGGGUAUAAAGCGGCGGCUCCGGGCCAAAUUUCAGGAGAAGCUUUGGUGCGAGCCUCUUGACUCUUCUGACCUGGAUCGUUUUCCCUGGAAUAAAUGGUGUCAGACUCGUUGCUAAAUAGUCUGACAACCAGAGGGGACGAGCCCAUGGCUGCCGAAGGUUCCAGGUCAGCCCCCAGAGCCCGGUGAAGCCACUCUACCUCCCGCUCGCUCUUCGCGUCUCAGGUAAUCUUCGAAGCAAGGGAAGAGAAGAGUAUGCUAUCCUGUCAUGACAUUUCUUUUCAAAAUACGUGGCUUAAAGAGGAACGGAAAGAGAAGGUGAGUUUCAUGAGGACAAUGCAGAGGAACUCAUGUGUAUGCUGUGUAUGCAGUGGUUUGGAGUCACAAGUGAGGAAUACUGAGCCUGCAGAAGCCACUGUAUUAAUAGAUGAGGAAGGGAGAGAUGGAAGGACGGGAAGAGUGAGACACACACACAGACUGUUUCUAAAUAUGGUUAUUUCAACUAGAAGAAUCUUAAUUAUUUGCUCGUAAGAGUAGGCAAUUUGAUGUAGAAUCUUUUAAAGUGGCUAUGCUCUUCGAAGGGGUAUUAUGAAAACAUAAUAUGCUAUAUUUACUUCUUAAUUCUCUUUUUGUACCCUCUAAUAGUAUUCUUUAUACAAUUGAAAAUCCACUCACACCUGAUUAGGAGUUCCAUGGAUAGCAGCAAACUCCAUCUCUGUCGGUUUCUCAAGAUUAUUAGAUGGUUUUUAUUUUUCUUAGAAACCAUGGAAGUACUACUUGGAUAUUUUAUUUUUGCCAACAAGAUAAUGUACUUAUUUAGUAACUAGUGACUUUUGAAGAAACACUUUCAAGCAUAUUAAAAUAUUUUUAUUGUUUACAUUUAAAAUCUACAUGAAUAUCAUUUAAAUUUUGUGAUAUCUAUUUCAAGUGUGGUUGCAAUAAUAGAAAAG
rnacentral:lncRNA from 1 species